rnacentral:rRNA from 1 species
GUUUGCGAUCACACCCGCACUAACGUAACGGAUCCCACAAGAACUCCGCCGUUAGUCGUGCUUGCGCAAGGUUAGUACUAGGAUGGGUGACCUCCUCGAAAGUCAACAAG